rnacentral:rRNA from 1 species
UACCAGCACCCCGAGUGGUCGGGACGAUUAUUGGGCCUAAAGCAUCCGUAGCCGGUUUUACAAGUCCUCCGUUAAAUCCAACUGCUUAACAGAUGGGCCGCGGAGGAUACUAUAAGACUAGGAGGCAGGAGAGGCAAGCGGUACUCAGUGGGUAGGGGUAAAAUGCGUAGAUAUCGAGAGGAACACCUGCGGCGAAGGCGGGUUGCUGGGCUGACACUGACGCUGAGGCGCGAAAGCUAGGGGAGCGAACGGG